GCAUGGCCUAAGGCUAAGCCAUGCACGUCUAAGUACAAACUAAAUGAUGGUGAAACUGCAAAUGGCUCAUUACAACGGUUAUGAUGUACCCGGGAGUUCCGAUGGAUAUUUCCAGUAACACUAGAACUAAUACAUGUCCCUGCGUUUAUUAGUUUCGCACAGUCCGUCGCUGAGUCAUGGUAAACAGUUGAUCGACUCGACGUCCCGGAACAGUUUCCGCCCCAUCAGCUUCGAUGGUUGGGUAUUGGCCUACCAUUGCAACAACGGGUAACGAGGAAUUAGGGUUUGAUUUCGGAGAGGGAGCCUGAGAAACGGCUACCACAUCUACGGAUGGCAGCAGGCGCGCAAAUUACCCAAUGCAGACACUGUGAGGUAGUGACGAGAAAUAAUAAAGCGGGACUUCUGUUUCGCUAUUAUAAUGAGGAAUAACCAAAGGUCAUUCCGAUUAGCAACUGAUGGGAAAGUCUGGUGCCAGCAGCCGCGGUAAUACCAGCGUCAGU
rnacentral:rRNA from 1 species